rnacentral:rRNA from 1 species
GUGGGGAAUAUUGCACAAUGGGCGCAAGCCUGAUGCAGCGACGCCGCGUGAGGGAUGAAGGCCUUCGGGUUGUAAACCUCUUUCAGCGCCGAAGAAGCGAAAGUGACGGUAGGCGCAGAAGAAGCACCGGCUAACUACGUGCCAGCAGCCGCGGUAAUACGUAGGGUGCGAGCGUUGUCCGGAAUUAUUGGGCGUAAAGAGCUCGUAGGCGGUCUGUCACGUCUGCUGUGAAAACUCGGGGCUUAACCCCGGGCCUGCAGUGGGUACGGGCAGACUAGAGUGCGGUAGGGGAGACUGGAAUUCCUGGUGUAGCGGUGAAAUGCGCAGAUAUCAGGAGGAACACCGGUGGCGAAGGCGGGUCUCUGGGCCGUAACUGACGCUGAGGAGCGAAAGCAUGGGGAGCGAACAGGAUUAGAAACCCUAGUAGUCC